rnacentral:rRNA from 1 species
CCUACGGGUGGCUGCAGUGGGGGAUAUUGCACAAUGGGGGAACCCCUGAUGCAGCGACGCCGCGUGGGUGAAGAAGCGCCUCGGCGCGUAAAGCCCUGUCAGCAGGGAAGAAAAUGACGGUACCUGAAGAAGAAGCCCCGGCUAACUACGUGCCAGCAGCCGCGGUAAUACGUAGGGGGCAAGCGUGAUCCGGAUUUACAGGGUGGAAAGGGGGCGCAGACGGCGAUGCAGGCCAGGAGUGAAAGCCCGGGGCACAACCCCGGGACGGCUCUUGGAACUGCGUGGCUAGAGUGCAGGAGGGGCAGGCGGAAUUCCUGGUGUAGCAGUGAAAUGCGUAGAUAUCAGGAGGAACACCGGUGGCGAAGGCGGCCUGCUGGACUGCAACUGACGUUGAGGCCCGAAAGCGUGGGGAGCAAACAGGAUUAGAUACCCGGGUAGUC